rnacentral:rRNA from 1 species
GAUGAACGCUGGCGGCGUGCCUAAUACAUGCAAGUCGAGCGAACAGACGAGGAGCUUGCUCCUCUGACGUUAGCGGCGGACGGGUGAGUAACACGUGGAUAACCUACCUAUAAGACUGGGAUAACUUCGGGAAACCGGAGCUAAUACCGGAUAAUAUAUUGAACCGCAUGGUUCAAUAGUGAAAGACGGUUUUGCUGUCACUUAUAGAUGGAUCCGCGCCGCAUUAGCUAGUUGGUAAGGUAACGGCUUACCAAGGCAACGAUGCGUAGCCGACCUGAGAGGGUGAUGGGCCACACUGGAACUGAGACACGGUCCAGACUGCUACGGGAGGCAGCAGUAGAGAAUCUUCCGCAAUGGGCGAAAGCCUAACGGAGCAACGCCGCGUGAGUGAUGAAGGUCUUCGGAUCGUAAAACUCUGUUAUUAGGGAAGAACAAAUGUGUAAGUAACUAUGCACGUCUUGACGGUACCUAAUCAGAAAGCCACGGCUAACUACGUG